UUAAAUCUCUUAAUCGAAAUAGUUUAUUGUAGCUUAGCUGGUCUUUGGACUUAACUUACCGUGACCUGAAUCAGAGCAGAAGGUAGAGAAGCUGAAGAUCUGAGAACAACACUUUUUCUUUCUAAGAACAAAGUUCUGGCAAUGGGAAUACCCCUAAACUACAUCUGAACCAUAUAAUUAGUUUUAAAGGGUCAAAAAAAGGACUUCUUUAAAACAACUAACAAAAUACCCAACAUCACUUUCAACCGUAGAAGAACGAACAUAACUAUUCACAGAUAUUUAACGGACAUUAUCCAAAGUUUAAAUGCAUCGAAAUAUACAGCGAGAAACUUACAACCAAAAAAGGCUUGGAGAGCGCCUCCCCUUUACAUUAACAACUUAUUUCGACGUGUCCACAUCUCAUCCUUCGAAUUAACGAGUCAUGUGCUCAACCUAGAUGGUCUUGAAACUCGAGCACUCCCUGUAAGAUGAACCAGAGCAGGAAACUAGAUAAGAUCAACCUGAAGACAACUUUGCUGGCCUUUGGACUUAACUUCCCGUAACCUGAAUCUGAGCAGAAGGUAGAGAAGCUGAAGAUCUGAGAACACUACGCCUUUUCUUUGUAAGAUGUAUGUACUUAAACUGGGCAGGAUUCAUGGUGUCAGUAUAAUGAGAUCAUUAAUAGUAAGGAUACUAAAACUAGUA